ACGUUUGUUAUUAGCUGUGAACAUGGCUGCUUCCUAUAAAUUUUUUUCUAAUAUUAGAAGUUAUGCAUUGUCAUCAGUGCGUUCAUAUUAUUCAGUGAAAGCGAAUCACUCAAGUUUAACCAGUGGCUACCAGUGCCUUAAUUCUCUGAUUUAUAAGGCAAGGUUUCAAACUCUGUCUCCUCAUAACAAACAUACUAAAGAUUUCUGUCUGGGAGAUAGAAUUGAAGAAGAUAAAGAUGGUGAAGAAAGAAUUGCAAAGGAAAUAUUUACAAAAGUU